GAAAAGCCUCUAGCUAGAAUAACGGUGCCCGUACCGCAAACCGACACAGGUAGUCAAGAUGAGAAUUCUAAGGUGAGCGAGCGAACUCUCGUUAAGGAACUCGGCAAAAUGACCCCGUAACUUCGGGAGAAGGGGUGCUCUUUGAGGUUCACGCUUCGAAGAGCCGCAGUGAAUAGGCCCAAGCGACUGUUUAUCAAAAACACAGGUCUCUGCUAAACCGUAAGGUGACGUAUAGGGGCUGACGCCUGCCCGGUGCUGGAAGGUUAAGAGGAGUGGUUAGCGCAAGCGAAGCUACGAAUCGAAGCCCCAGUAAACGGCGGCCGUAACUAUAACGGUCCUAAGGUAGCGAAAUUCCUUGUCGGGUAAGUUCCGACCCGCACGAAAGGCGUAACGAUUUGGGCACUGUCUCAACGAGAGACUCGGUGAAAUCAUAGUACCGGUGAAGAUGCCGGUUACCCGCGACAGGACGGAAAGACCCCGUGGAGCUUUACUGUAGCCUGAUAUUGAAAUUCGGUACAGUUUGUACAGGAUAGGUAGGAGCCUUAGAAGCGUGAGCGCUAGCUUACGUGGAGGCAUUGGUGGGAUACUACCCUAAUUGUAUUGGAUUUCUAACCCGCAGCACUUAUCGUGCUGGGAGACAGUGUCAGGCGGGCAGUUUGACUGGGGCGGUCGCCUCCUAAAGAGUAACGGAGGCGCUCAAAGGUUCCCUCAGAAUGGUUGGAAAUCAUUCAUAGAGUGUAAAGGCAUAAGGGAGCUUGACUGCGAGACCUACAAGUCGAGCAGGGUCGAAAGACGGACUUAGUGAUCCGGUGGUUCCGCAUGGAAGGGCCAUCGCUCAACGGAUAAAAGCUACCCCGGGGAUAACAGGCUUAUCUCCCCCAAGAGUUCACAUCGACGGGGAGGUUUGGCACCUCGAUGUCGGCUCAUCGCAUCCUGGGGCUGUAGUCGGUCCCAAGGGUUGGGCUGUUCGCCCAUUAAAGCGGUACGCGAGCUGGGUUCAGAACGUCGUGAGACAGUUCGGUCCCUAUCCGUCGUGGGCGUAGGAAAUUUGAGAGGAGCUGUCCUUAGUACGAGAGGACCGGGAUGGACAUACCUCUGGUGUACCAGUUGUCGUGCCAACGGCAUAGCUGGGUAGCUAUGUAUGGACGGGAUAAGUGCUGAAAGCAUCUAAGCAUGAAGCCCCCCUCGAGAUGAGAUUUCCCAACUUCGGUUAUAAG
rnacentral:rRNA from 1 species